GGCUAUAGCUCAGCUGGGAGAGCGCCUGCC
rnacentral:tRNA from 1 species